ACCUUUUGGCAAUGGAUCACUUGGCUCUCGCAUCGAUGAAGAACGCAGCGAAAUGCGAUAAGUAAUGUGAAUUGCAGAAUUCAGUGAAUCAUCGAAUCUUUGAACGCACCUUGCGCUCCUUGGUAUUCCGAGGAGCAUGCCUGUUUGAGUGUCAUUAAUAUAUCAAACCUCUCUUGUUGAGUGUUUGGAUGGUGGGGGGUGAUUUUUUGCUGGUCUCUUUUCUGAGGGUCAGCUCCCCUGAAAUGCAUUAGCGGAACAAUUUGUGGACCCGUUCAUUGGUGUGAUAAAUAUCUACGCUAUUGACGGUUCAGCUUCAUUGACUCAUUAAUGUGACCUCAAAUCAGGUAGGACUACCCGCUGAACUUAAGCAUAUCAAUAAGCGGAGGCU
rnacentral:misc_RNA from 1 species